UACAGAGGGUGCGAGCGUUAAUCGGAAUUACUGGGCGUAAAGGGCGCGUAGGCGGUUUAUCAAGUGAGAUGUGAAAUCCCCGGGCUUAACCUGGGAACUGCAUCUUAAACUGGUAAGCUGGAGUACUGUAGAGGACAGUGGAAUUUCCGGUGUAGCGGUGAAAUGCGUAGAGAUCGGAAGGAACAUCAGUGGCGAAGGCGACUGUCUGGACAGAUACUGACGCUGAGGCACGAAAGCGUGGGGAGCAAACAGG
rnacentral:rRNA from 1 species